GUCUUCAUACUUCAUAUUCACUCUUACACAAUAGGCCAUCUCCUCAGUCCUUGUAUAAACUAUAGUAAGGAGCUGGAGAGGUGGCUCAGCAGUUAAGAGCAUUUACUGCUCUUUCAGAGGACCCAUGUUUAGUCCUCAGCACCCAUAUAACAGCUUAGAACCACCCAUUACAUUAACCCCAGGACCUGGCACCCUCUUUUAACCUCCAUUGGCACUAAGCAUGCAUGUGGUGUACAGACGUACAGACAGGCAGGCAGACAAAACACAAAAUCUACUAGAGCUGAUCCCCAUUUAUGCAUGGAGUCCAUAUUGUAAAUUGCCUACUCAUUAAAAUUGGUGUGUAGCCCACAAAUCCAUGCUUGCACACAUGUCAAAAAGUCUUAGUGGCCUGUCGACACAUUCCCAGCUAAGGCUGAGAAGUCAACCCCACUUCUGGUUUUAGUUCAUAUUCUCUGUGUCCUUCCCAUGGUCUGUCUAGUGCCCAGUGUUCUGUGGCUUUUGGGUCUGUUGGCAGAGUUGCUGUUUAAAAGGUCUCUCCGGGCAUUGUGCUAGGAUACCUCAGAGCAGGAAGUCUGAGGCAUGACUAGUGGAGGAAGUAUAUUUGAUCAGCUUCCUGCAGCAUGCAGUAUGGCCGCACUGCUGUCUGAGCCUCGUGCUCAUGAGUCAGUGGGGAAAGGUAAAUGGCUCAGCUGGUAAUGGCUCUGCUCAGCGUGCCACUCUGAUCCCUGGAACCCAUGUGACAGAAGGAGAAAACUAACUCCCAAAAGUUGUCCUCUGACUUCCACACAUGCAAAUAAAUAAAGUAAAUGUAAUUAUA
rnacentral:lncRNA from 1 species